UACAGAGGUCCCAAGCGUUGUUCGGAUUCAUUGGGCGUAAAGGGGUGCGUAGGCGGCGCGGUAAGUCGGGUGUGAAAUCUCGGGGCUUAACUCCGAACUGCAUUCGAUACUGCCGUGCUUGAGGACUGGAGAGGAGACUGGAAUUUACGGUGUAGCGGUGAAAUGCGUAGAUAUCGUAAGGAAGACCAGUGGCGAAGGCGGGUCUCGUGGACAGUUCCUGACGCUGAGGCACGAAGGCCAGGGGAGCAAACGGG
rnacentral:rRNA from 1 species